rnacentral:rRNA from 1 species
GAGUUUGAUCGUGGCUCAGGACGAACGCUGGCGGCGCGCCUAACACAUGCAAGUCGAACGGGGUUGAGAGGAGCUUGCUUUUCUUGACUUAGUGGCGAACGGGUGAGUAACGCGUGAGGAACCUGCCUCAAAGAGGGGGACAACAGUUAGAAACGACUGCUAAUACCGCAUAAGCCCACGGUCCCGCAUGGGAGAGAGGGAAAAGGAGCAAUCCGCUUUGAGAUGGCCUCGCGUCCGAUUAGCUAGUUGGUAAGGUAACGGCUUACCAAGGCGACGAUCAGUAGCCGACCUGAGAGGGUGACCGGCCACAUUGGGACUGAGACACGG